rnacentral:lncRNA from 1 species
UCAGCCUCCCGAGUAGCUGGGAUUACAGGUGCGUGCCACCAUGCCGGGUAAUUUUUGUAUUUUUAGUUAGAGACUGGGUUUUACCAUGUUGGCCAAGAUGGUCUCCAUCUCUUGACCUCGCGAUCCACCCCCAUCGGCUUCCCAAAGCGCCGGAAUUACAGACGGGAGCCACUGCGCCCGGCCUGCCUCUCGACUUUCAAUGCCUCACCGCUCCUUAGUGAGGAAGCAAACCCGCAGAGUCUCGCCAGCCCCGGGCUCGCCUCGCGUUCCAGCACAGCCCUGGAACUCAGACCACAGAGGGAUGGAGCGACGUGGAAACCCCCCCAGAAGAGGGCCGCCCUGGAAACGUCCUUGGGCGAUGCCCAUUCCUGCCGGAAGAGGGUACUUGGGACACACUCAAGAGCCAGCGCCUGGGCUUGCAGAGCCGGCAGUCAGAAGUCAGCGCCGGCUUUGGCUUCUAAACUGUUUUUCUUCAGUAAUUGCCAGGUAAACUGCUUCUCACCUAAAAUGUGUCUCCUUUCACUUUCCCAGCUUUAAAAAAUGCCCCUUAAAUAUAAUGCCACAAGUAAGAUGAACAGCUGCUGAGAAGAUGGUUGCUGCUUCUGUGAUUGUUCAGGAAAUGCAAGACUCGAACAUCAGCGCAAGGCUGACCACACUCAGCGUUUCUUGCUUGGACAGUGAUUCAGUCCUGAGUCACCCACAGCACCAAUGAGAGACCCACAAGCAGGUGCUCACCCACAGGGCAGGUGAGGGGUCGACUCCAGGAGCAGAGCACGCCGUGCCCACCUGCUGGUGUCAGCCGCCUGCUCCUCGUUCUCCAGGUGUGGCUGCGGGUGCCCCUUCUUGUCCUGUACCACCCCUGAGCAUCCAGUCAUUUAUGUCACUCUGCUCCCACCCACUUAAACCACUGGCAUCACACACGCCGAGUGCAUUCCUGUAGCUCCAAGGUAGCAUUGCUCUUUGACCCUGGCCAUGCGCCAGAAUUGUCCGUGGGGAUUUAUGAAGAUGGGUGGCCAGAUACCACCUGGGAGUUCUGUUUUUACAGGUGUGUUGUGGAGUUUGGACACACACACACACACACACACACACACUCAAGCUUCAUGGGACAAUACGGACAUGUAGACUUGACAACUGCUCUUCUGCUGCUACAGAUAAAGGCUGAUAAGGUGUCACAGUGCUGUCACCCUCAUUGUCCACUUCAUUACUCCACAGGCAGCCCAACGCUGGGUUCACAGAAAUGGUAUAGAGGCCAGAGGGCAUGAGGAUCCAGUUCAGAUAUCCUAAGAGUAUGUUUGGAAAUCACAUCAUCUUUUCCCAUCUUUGGGGUGGCACUCACUGCCCUAGAAUCACAGGUGUAACUUCUGUCUCUGGCUCUGCCAGCCCUGCCCAUUCCCUGCAGUCUCCCACUCAGAGCCCCCAAAUUUCUCCAUAAAGUUCAAGUUCUCCAAAGUGUGACCAGAUCCUCCAUGGACCACCUAUCUUUGGAUGACACUCACCUUGCUGAAUCUAUCGCUCUUAUUCCAGAGUGGGUCCCACAGCUCUACUGGAUGAUCUUGUUCUCAAGCAAGAUAAAACUUUCCCCCAAAGUUGCCUUUUCUCCCUUUCCCAGCUCUACGGGUGCACUUGCUAGAUGGGUGAUAGUUUUCCACAGCACAGUCAUGUUUUGGAUACCGACAGCUUAGGUAAAACCACCAAAAAUGUCCUGAAUAGUUGUCAAAGAAUGCCUCAUUGAGCUCCUUUUGGGAAAUACAGUUUCUACCCAGAAUAGAAUAAAAGUGAAGAUGUAACGGAAAAAGAGAAGUUAUUGACAGACUUCUUGUGUGUUUAUAAUGGUACCUGAUGCUGUGUGGUUGCCAUGAGACCGGCCCCCAGGUGGCCUAGGAUGGAGUGCUAUCUAUGCAGCUGCCUGGUUUAUGUGCACAGUUCCCAUGUCCUGAUGAGCUGUUAACACAAAAGCUUCCUGUAGUAUGCAUGUUCUCACAAGGGUGUGUGGUCAGAUGAGGGGUGGGUGUGGCAGGAUAAGGAGCAGGUGGCAAUUCACACGUGGAGCUAAGGCAAGAGCAGUGGAGGCUCUGACAGCCUAGGGCAUGAGGGCGAGUCCCUGCACCGGUUUAUGCCUCCUGGCCCUCCGGGAGUGGAAUAUGGUUACGUAAAUGUUGAAGGAACCAGAUUUGCAGAAUAGAGGCCACUGGCCAUUAUGUAAACUCUCUUCUGAGUCUUAAGAAAUGAAUGGUCCCCUCCCUGGAAAAGCAAAGAUUCUCUGGAUGAAAAGUAUUGUGGCUGUUCAGUCACUUUAAAUCAGAGUUUUUGAAAAGUACAUUUUAAAGCUCUUUUGCUAUCAUACUUUUAAAAAUAACAGGAGGUCAGAGUCUUGGGUGGUAAAUCAAAAUAGAAACAGCUUAAUUUGGUGACAGCUGUAAGAUAUCUUGCUCUUCCCAGAGCUCCUAAACAUUGGCCUGCAGGGCGUGUGUCCACCCACCAGGGUCACUUGUUUUACCAAAGCAAUCUCGGAAGGGUGGCUGUGGGUGUGUGGGUGGAAUGUCACACAGACAUCUCAUUUCCCCCUCACUUUACAUGAGAACAUAACUAUUUUUCUUCUUAAAAUAUAGUCUCCUACCCUCACGAGUAAGGAGAGAUUGGUACAUUUGGCUAAGUGUUGUGUCUAGGAGAUUUGGUUUACAGGUCUUCUCCAUGCCUUUUCUACUAGAAAGUGUGUGUCAAAUAACUUCAUUCAGUGUUGGUUAAAAUAUUUGAUCCUUUUUGUUUUUUUUUUUUUUUUUUCUCUUAGCGCAGUUGCUGCUAGGGAAUAUGUUAGAAGCUAUUUCUUUAUUUGUUCAUUUGUGAACUUUCCUUCUACAUGUUCCUUUGCCCUAGAUAGCCUGUCAAAGAAUUUUAAGCCAAAGAAUUUUUCUCCAAAUAUGCCUGGGGUAAAACAGAAUUUUGUAAUAGAAAUGUAGACAGCCUUCUAGAUGUGAACUCUUCUCAUGAUGUUAAACAGCAUCUGUCUUCAAGGACGCAUCUGCCUUUAGUGAAGAGGGAAGGUCUGACUUAAAAGGAUCAUUUUGAGAAAGGCUCCAACAGAGGACACAAAUCCUCCCUAAGGGGCAGAGAGCAGAGGGUAUUGUUUACAAAGUGGGCUCAGACGUUGGUGGCUUGCGUUCAACUCCCAAAUUCAUCAGUUACUGAGUUUGUGUGUCGGUGAAUGACUUCACCUCUCUGGACCCAGUUUCCCUGUCUUUGACAUAGGAAUGAUGACACAGAAAUCAUGAUAUAAUGCCUCAAACACGCUCACAACUGUGCUCAGAGCAUAGUGACACUUGGCCUGUGCUGUUGACUGUUAUUGACAAACCCAAGUUUCUUUUCUCUUACAACUUCAUGGAGAAAUAGGUCUUCUUUGAAUGUGCCUUGUGGUACCAGGGGACCUCACAAACCUCUUCAACCUUUGGUUGUCUAAGCAAGCCUGGGAAAUGUAGCAGUGCAUCCUUGAAAAAAUC